rnacentral:rRNA from 1 species
UAAUACGUAGGGUGCAAGCGUUGUCCGGAAUUACUGGGUGUAAAGGGAGCGCAGGCGGAUUAGCAAGUCCUUGGUGAAAUCCUGAGGCUUAACCUCAGGACUGCCAAUGAUACUGCUGAUCUUGAGUGCAGAAGAGGAAGAUGGAAUUCCUGGUGUAGCGGUGAAAUGCGUAGAUAUCAGGAAGAACACCGGUGGCGAAGGCGGUCUUCUGGUCUGUAACUGACGCUCAUGCUCGAAAGCGUGGGGAGCAAACAGG